ensembl:lncRNA
ACCAUCACCCUCUCCAUAUUUGGCACUGUGCGCCCACGUGAUGCCGGUCUGAAAGCCCAGCUCGCGGCAGACGACUUUGGCUAGUUUGAUAUCCACUUCGUCAUCACACACCGUCCCCCACGUGCUGUUGUGAAGCACUUCCACGCGACCCUCGUUCAGUCCCCGGGCGAAGUUUCCCGCCAGGCGCACCUUGGAAACCGGAGCGCGCGCGGUCCUGCUGCGUGGUGAGGAUGACGACCAUCGGCGGGGUUCCGAAAGCGCGGAGGAGGAGAGGAAGAGGAGGAGGAGCAGAGAACUCAAGCAGAUGAGGAAGAUGCGAUGCAUCAUGUCUGUGUAUGGAAUAUCGUCCAGGAGAUAGAGAGAGAGAGAAUUGGGUUAGUAGAGUCAUCAACAUAAUUGACUGAAGAAGAGGCAUUAUUUUGGCUCAUAACCAGCAGUGGAAUUGUAAGGGAGUAAGAGAGUGAGAGAGAGAUGGCUAUCAAACAGGCCAAUACUGACAUCAUCUGGACAGAGUUGGUCUAUUCUGUCCUAUUCAGAGCUGGAAGACAGGUAGGCUACAGGCAGUUAACCCACUGUUCCUCGGCCGUCAUUGAAAAUAAUAGAGUGACUGAGUAAGGAGGAUGGACUCACCUGAUAGAAAGCUACAGACACAGCUGUCCUACACGUCCCAGACCGGGAGAGGAGAGAGUGACUGAGUAAGGAGGAUGGACUCACCUGAUAGAAAGCUACAGACACAGCUGUCCUACACGUCCCAGACCGGGAGAGGAGAGAGUGACUGAGUAAGGAGGAUGGACUCACCUGAUAGAAAGCUACAGACACAGCUGUCCUACACGUCCCAGACCGGGAGAGGAGAGAGUGACUGAGUAAGGAAGUGUGCCUGCUAGAUGAGGUCUCUGGUCAAUCUUUCUCUUUCUUCUCCUGCCUCCCUCAUUCCCUCCCACAUUUCUUCUCUCUCUCUUUUUAAGAAUGUUCCUGCUCACUCAAAAAUGCUGACACACACACACACACACACACACAAUUGUUUAAUUGCAUUUUGAUUUAACUAUAAACAUAGUUUGGGGUGUGUGUGCAUUUUAAAUGGUGCUGUUGGGAAAUAAUGAUCUGUUUUCAGAUACUGUCUGUGUAUAAUUUCACUGUUGUACAUAAUCCCACACAUCUCUUGUACCAAUAGAGAUAAAAUGUAGUCACAUGUAACAAAUAAAGUCUCUUCUCACAACCCACUGCAUCUCCUAUAAACUCACAGGGAGACAAAUCUCACUUGAUAGACGGUAAAGUGAUGAAACAGUUCAGUUUGUAUCCUUGAUUUUUCAUGAUCACAUGAAUAAAAGAACAAUCUGCAGUACGGGAGGAGAGUCAACAGUGGGUGGAUCUGAGUAAUCGUUCAAAC